rnacentral:rRNA from 2 species
GGCGUAAGCGCGCGCAGGCGGUUUCUUAAGUCUGAUGUGAAAGCCCACGGCUCAACCGUGGAGGGGCAUUGGAAACUGGGGAACUUGAGUGCGGAAGAGAAAGGCGGAAUUCCACGUGUAGCGGUGAAAUGCGUAGAGAUGUGGAGGAACACCAGUGGCGAAGGCGGCCUUUUGGUCUGUAACUGACGCUGAGGCGCGAAAGCGUGGGGAGCAAACAGGAUUAGAUACCCUGGUAGUCCACGCCGUAAACGAUGACUGCUAAGUGUUAGAAGCCUUCCGCCCUUUAGGGCUGCACCUAACGCAUU